CGUAGCUCAGCUGGAUAGAGCGUUUGGCUACGAACCAAAAGGUCGGGGGUUCGAAUCCCUCCGGGGC
rnacentral:tRNA from 1 species